rnacentral:rRNA from 1 species
GACGAACGCUGGCGGCGUGCUUAACACAUGCAAGUCGAGCGGUAAGGCCCUUUCGGGGGUACACGAGCGGCGAACGGGUGAGUAACACGUGGGUGACCUGCCCUUAGCUCUGGGAUAAGCCUGGGAAACUGGGUCUAAUACCGGAUAUGACUCCAUGACGCAUGUUGUGGGGUGGAAAGCCUUGUGCGGCUAGGGAUGGGCCCGCGGCCUAUCAGCUUGUUGGUGGGGUGAUGGCCUACCAAGGCGACGACGGGGUAGCCGGCCUGACGAGGGCGACCGGCCACACUGGGACUGAGACACGGCCCAGACUCCUACGGGAGGCAGCAGUGGGGAAUCUUGCGCAAUGGGCGAAAGGCCUGACGCAGCGACGCCGCGUGGGGAUGACGGCCU